CUUGUAAAAGAGGCGCCAAAUUUGUAAACCUCUGGGAACGAGCUCUGUCGCAGAAUUAGGGUUUAACAGAUCAUCAUCACUAUCGUCUUCUUCUCUCUCGAUCUGGACGAUGGAGUGCGAGAUGGAGGAUGAUCUCCCUGAGUUUGACCCCCACGACCUCCGCGUUCGGGAGAGGUUUCGACGUUACGGGAAAAGGCAGGCAUUUUCUGGCAUUUCUCAACACGAAGAUAAUUCAAGUUCAAAAUCUGCUGAAGCAAGGUUAUUUUUCAACGGACUUGAUAUCCAAAGACGGCCUAAUGCUGCACUUUUUCUAGAGGAAAUUAAACAGGAGAUUGAGAAUUAUGAAGUUGAUGACAUUGAAACGACUCCUGGAAGAGUGAUAUCCUCAUCCAGAAGAAGAUUGCCAGCUGAUGGGCAGAGUUUGUCUGAACUGGAUGAUGGAUAUAGGUCAGUUAAUCUACUGGCUACUCCUUCCUCGAAGCCCUACAAGCAUGAAGAUGAUGCUUCAGCUGAUACUGGAGGAACGACAUUCACUUUAUUUGCAUCACUUCUUGAAUCUGCACUCCAAGGACUAAUUCCCUUCCCGGAUCUGAUUCUACAAUUUGAGAACACAUGCAGGAACAUGUCUGAAACAAUAAGGGAUGAGGCCACUGGACGGCACCGGAUUGUAGAGGAUAAAUUAAUGCGGCAAAAAUCUAAGCUGUUGAAUGAUGAGGCAGCUACUUGGUCACUUUUAUGGUAUCUUUUUGGAAAAGGAAAUGAAGAAAUUCCAGAAAGCUUGAUUUUGUCUCCUUCAACAUCACAUCAAGAAGCAUGCCUGUUUGUUAUGGACGAUCAUACAACACAACUGUGUCUUCGAAUUGUUCAGUGGCUUGAAGGUUUGGCAUCAAAAGCACUUGAUUUGGAAAAGAAGAUUAGGGGUUGGCAUGUUGGUUCGUAUCUUCAUAAUUCAGGUUUAUGGCAACGGACACAGAGGUUUCUUAAGAAAGGAGUGUGUGAUUCUACUCUUGUACAACAUUUGGAUUUUGACGCCCCAACUCGGGAAGAUGCGUUGUUGCUCUCUGAAGACAAGAAACAAGAAGAUUCUCUUUUAGAAGACAUAUGGAUUUUACUAAGAGCAGGUCGAUUGGAAGAGGCAUGUGAGCUUUGUCGUUCUGCUGGACAGCCAUGGAGAGCAGGAACUCUAUGUCCAUUCGGUGGAUUGGAUCAGUUUCCCUCUGUUGAGGCACUAAACAGAAAUGGGAAAAACCGAUCAUUGCAAGCCACUGAACUUGAAAGCGGUAUUGGAUUUCAGCGCCGCCUCUGGAAAUGGGCUUGUUUUUGUGCUUCUGAGAAAGUUGCUGAACAAGAGGGCGGGAAGUUUGAAGCUGCUGUUUUUGCUAUUCAGUGCAGCAAUGUGAAGCGUGUUCUUCCUGUUUGUAAAGACUGGGAGUCUGCAUGUUGGGUGAUGACAAAGUCAUGGCUUGACAGUCAGAUUGAUUUAGAGUUGGCUCGUCUUCUGCAAAGCAAAUCAGGCCAAACAAAGAGUAACGAGGAUUCCUUUUGUGGUGUGAGUAGACAAGGUGAUCAGAGCAUGAAUGUUUAUGUUGGCACAGAAACAUGGCCAUCCCAAGUUCUUGACCAGCAGCCCCAUGACCUUCGGGCUCUUCUUCAGAAGCUUCAUUCAGGUGAAAUGGUACAUGAAGCUGUGUCCCGUGAUUGCAGGGAUCAGCACCGUCAGAUCCAGAUGGACCUCAUGUUAGGUGAUGUUGCUCACCUCUUGGACCUUCUGAAGUUUUGGAUAACUCCCUCAGAGGAUGACAAUGACAUGGUUUUCAGGCCUUGUGGUGAUCCUCAGUUGGUUCGCUUUGGCGCACAUCUGGUAUUGGUGCUGAGAUAUCUAUUAGCUGACGACAUGAAAGAUGCUUUUAAAGAGAAGCUUGUUAUUGUUGGUAAUUUUAUACUGUACAUGUAUGCUGUAUAUUUAUUUUCUCAGAACCAUGAGGAACUUGUUGGAGUUUAUGCAUCUCAACUUGCUCCUCAUCUUUGUGUUGACCUUUUUGUACAUAUAAUGGAAAUAAGAUUGAUGGCCAGUGUUCAUGUCAAGUACAAGAUCUUCCGGUCUGCGAUGGAGUACUUGCCUUUCUUAUCCACGGAUGCUUCCAAAGGCUGCUUUGGGGAUAUUCUUGAAAGGGUUUUAUCUAGGUCUCGCCAAAUCAUUUGUAAUAAAAGUGAUGAAAAUUCACACAAUGCAAUGGAGCAACAUCAACUACAAACCAUUAGGAAGGCUAUGGUUGUCCAAUGGCUUUGUUUUACUCCACCGUCGACAAUCAAUGGUUGUGAAGAGAUCAAAGCAAAACUUCUCAAACUGGCGUUGGCACAUAGCAACAUGCUGUUUAGAGAGUUUGCUCUGAUAUCCAUGCGGAGAACUCCUGAACUGCCUGCAGGAGCACAUUUGCUGCUAAGCUUCUUAGCUGAGCCUUUACAACAGCCUAUAGAUAGUUUAUUUAUGGAGGAAGAGGAUGACAUUUCUGAGGACAUGGUUGAAUUCAAAGAUUGGCAAGAAUUCUACUCCUGUGAUGCUACUUACCGGCGUUGGCUCAAAAUAGAGCUGGAGAAUGCAGUUGUUCCUCCUCAUGAACUUGCUGAAGAAGAAAGAGAAAAAGCACAUAUUGCCGCUAGAGAGAUGCUUGAUACAUCACUGGGUCUUCUGCUAAAGAGAGAAGCACCUUGGUUCGUUGAAGGUUCAACUGCUUAUAAUGAUCCUUCUGAUUGCAUGUUUCUUGAGUUACAUGCAACUUUGAUGCUUUGUCUACCAACAGGAGAGUCGGUGUCACCAGAUCCUACUCUUUGCACUACAUUGAUGAGUGCUUUAUAUUCUUCUGUUAGUGAAGACAUUGCAUUGGAACGCCAGCUGCAGGUUGAUGUUGCUCCCUCAUCAAAGGACCAGAGCUGUUUUGAAGCUGUAAUUCGAUGCCUGGCAGCUGAUAGGGAUGGGUUGAAGCAGCAUAAAGCAAAUGAUGGUGGCCUUUUAGCUGAGGUCAUAGCUGCAGGAUUUAAAGGUGAACUCCCUCGAUUUCAAGCCAAAGUAACGUUAGAAAUUUCGCAGCUUGAUGCUUGGUAUACAGAUGAUAUGGGUUCUUCUAGAACUCCAGCUCCUUACAUUGUCCGAGGCCUCUGCCGUCGCUGUUGCCUUCCAGAGACUAUUCUUCGCUGUAUGCAGGUUUAUGUAUCACUUGCUGAAUCAGGAAAAUUUUUAUCGAGCCAUGAUGAAUUAAUUGAUCUAGUUGCCUCAUCUCAGUCAGCAUUGCUUCCGUUGUUCAGCCCCCUUCAAUUGCAGGAAUUUCUAUUGUUUGAAAGGGAGUAUGCAAUAUUGCAAAUGGAAGCUCAAGAAGAGCCAUUGACAAGUCCUUGAUAACUUAUGACAUUUAUAGUUAUGUGUUAUCAUGAAGUGCCCAGUUGAGGAAUUCUGGCCAAUAUUUUCAGAUCUGAUUCUAUGGAUGAGCUUGGACGGCCAAAUUUUAGAGGUUGAAUAUAAUAUCAAAAUCUGAUGCGCAGUGUGUAUUUAACAACUCCCCUAGUUUUCACUGAAUUGAUCUGUUGAUUUUAAAACCUUCCUAUUGAUCCAUGUGUCAAGUUUGAAUGUUCUUUUCCAAUCCUAUAGGUUUAGGCCCUCCUAGCUCAUUUCUUUGGUUGAAGGCUGGACAAACACCAGAUGGCUAUGCAAUUUAGUUGUAUAUUUUAAGCAGACAUGUUUGUUCAUUUGUAUAUUUAUAAAAUACAAAUUGCUAAAGAAAAUAAUAGCAAGAUAGGCUAAAAAGUGUAAAACAGUGCCAUGUCCUGCACCUGUGUCCAUAUGUUCCCACGGGGGUGGUGUCCUUUCAGGAACUCAUUCGUAACCUGGUUGGUAACUUCAGAUUGCUUUGGAAAUAGCUGCAAUAUUUCCGUUUUGUCUCCAAUACAGCAAAUCUUCGUCCGCUUGAAUUUCAAUUUUAGCUUCGAGGGAUGUUGCUGUUAGUUUUCUUUGAGAAUAACUGUCCAAAGUAAUAUAUAUGCCAUUUACGGGCAUCACUGGAAGGUGAAAACCCCUGGGUUUACCCCUGGCAGCUAUGCAUUACGAACGAACGCCGUGUGGAAGCUCAUGGGGCGGAGUGGCAGGGAAGAAAAUUAUGUUACUCUUUUUUUUUUUUUUUGGUGCUUGCUUCUCAUGAGGUUUGUAUAUAUUUGGUCAAACAUUAGUUUGAAUUGGUUUUCAUACAAUGUUUCCUUGUAAAUGUAUUGUAAUAUUCGGGUAAUCAUUUCUGCAUUA